GACAGAGGGUGCAAACGUUGUUCGGAAUUACUGGGCGUAAAGCGUGUGUAGGCGGUCCACUAAGUCGGGUGUGAAAGCCCUGGGCUCAACCCAGGAAGUGCACUCGAAACUGGCGGGCUAGAGUAUCGGAGAGGUUGGUGGAAUUCUCGGUGUAGAGGUGAAAUUCGUAGAUAUCGAGGGGAACACCGGUGGCGAAGGCGGCCAACUGGACGAAUACUGACGCUGAGACACGAAAGCGUGGGGAGCAAACAGG
rnacentral:rRNA from 1 species